rnacentral:ncRNA from 1 species
CUGCCGAAAGGGCAAAGCCACUGAAAGGUGGCGGCGCAAAGCUAAGGGUCUAAAGCCGGGUCCCCGGCCACGACUGCCAGCUGCCGAA